rnacentral:lncRNA from 1 species
UUAAAACCAAGGAAUUGUAAUAAAUGACACAUAUAUGGAUCUUCUUUUUGGUUGCUUAUUUUCGUUUUUAUUCUCCUAUUUUGCCUAUCAUAUCUUUUCCUUCCCUUUUUUCAUCUUUAAUCUUUAUUAAACUGGAUUGUGAAUAAGUAAUCAGUUUGGGAUAAUACCAAUAUGAAUUGAUUAAUCCACUCCAAUCAACCUAAGUAAUUUCAGAGUUGCAGUAUUUGUUUCUCUUUUGGUGAGCAUUUUAUAGGCAUAGUCAUAAGUUUGUUACUUGGGAAUCAUUCAUCUAGAAGGGAAAAUUUGGUAUGUAGCUUGUGUUGCAUUAGAAAUAGUAUGGGUCAGUGAUCAAGGCUGACCUGCUUCAGAACUGACUUUGGGCUUUAAGUAUGUAUGAAAGAGAUUGUAAGAUAACUUGUUUACACCCGCAGUCUACCUGACUGCUUACUGGCGGGGAAAUCGACUUACAAUCUUUUCACAUAACAUGCAGUGAAUUUUUGGGAUAAAUACAGAUGCAAAUGGCUAUUGGUUUAUUGGCUCUUUGCUUUGCUCAAUGUUCAGUCUUUAUUCCAUUGCAUUUAACAAAUCUUGCAGCAUUUGUGAUUACUCUGUGUACCUCCUUUGUUUCUUUUUAUGGCUUAUAUGCAGUUUAAUGGGUACACUAUCUUUCUAUGCAUAUGUCACUUGGUCUUCUGAGUUCUAACUAUACUGUACUUCUUUUUCUUUGAACACUUUUUUAUGGCAUGUUGGCAGCAAAGUUUGAAAGUUUGGUUUCAAUUUCUGCAGUUUUAAUUGGGAUUUGGGCAAUUUCAGCCAAAAAUGAUUUAAAAAAGUAGAAAAAUUGAGGAAAGUAAAAAAUCUAGUAAAAAUGUUUUGCUCUGACAUCAUUAUAAAAUAUGUUUAUUGUUCGGAGUGUUUAAGUAUAUCAUUUCGAUGGUUUCUUGUUGGAAUGCAUGUAUGGGAUGCGUAAUGUUUAAAAAAUAGUAGUUUAAUUGUGGAAUUGAUAAUCAUUUUUUUAUAUAUUAGAGUGUUAUGUGACUUAUGUCAAUGAUUGUAAAUGACAGUUUGACAUGUAUUAAUUUUUGUGACCACUAAGUUUAAUCUCUAGGAUAGCCAAACCUAUAUUAAAAGUUGGCUUCUCUAAUUUUCUUAGCAACCUAGUUUUCCAAUGCUUUCAAAUGUUCAUCAAAUUUGCAAAGUUUGAUUUUUUUUUCGGUGGGAAAAUGCUUUUGGAAUAGAAAACAAAAUGCUAUCAUAAUUGCCUAUAUAUAAAAUAUAUUUGGCCUUUGGGCAACUUUGGGCCGAACCUACAAAACUGACUCUAGUUUCGAAUCAUUUUUGGAUGAAAGUGAAAACUUAUGGUUUUGAUUAUAGAGAUNNNNNNNNNNNNNNNNNNNNNNNNNNNNNNNNNNNNNNNNNNNNNNNNNNNNNNNNNNNNNNNNNNNNNNNNNNNNNNNGGACACUUGGUGACAUGGUGAAGUACUCCAAACAAUACUCUGAUAUGUGAAAAGCAUGUAAGAUGGAAGAUUUGUUAAUAGUUAUAUCAUGCAAGGUUCGCCGUGCCGGUACAAGCUUGUACCAGUCGGUUGGCGGCAUGAUUCGGUAUGCCCCUGUGCUGUUCCGUGCUGGGUCUGUACCGACACAACAGAGAGGGUGAGGGAGAACAGGAGAGAGGAAAAGAGAGAGAGAGGAGGAGGAAGGGAGAGGGGGAGGGAGGGCCGUUGGAGGCUUUCGGAGGGUGCUGGAGGGGCACAGAGGGCCGGAGAAGGGGCUCCGCCCUUCGGACCCCUGCCCCUGCGGUGCCCUUUGGAGGCCAAUGGCGGCAUUCCCUCCCUCUCCCUCUCCCUUCCUCCCCCCAUCUCUUUCUUUUUCUCUUUUUUCUUCUCCCUCUCCUCCCACUUGCCGGUUUACCGUUUUGAAUGCCAGAACUGUCCCAGAUGGUUCGGGACGGUUCUGCAUUUCUUGAUAUCAUAUAUAGUUGCUUUUAUUCCUCUUUGAUCUCUAUUGGUACAAAUGGCUCUUCUCAACAAUAAUCAUCAAAUUUUAUUGCUUUUGCCAAUCUUGAAAUUUUCUUUCCAUAAUCUUUUCCCUGUGGUUAUUGACUGUUGCUAAUUAUUUUAUAGAGAACCUUUAUUGGUUCUUGGCCACAUAUUUAUGCCCCUGGAAUCUUGCCUUUGCUUUUGAUCAUGUCUAGAUAUCUUUAGUUUGGUUUGUCUACCUUGUGGUGUAUGAAGUCAUUCUAACUCCUGAUUCAUGUGCAUCCAAUUAUAUAACAUAUGAUGCAUUUGAUUGGACUCUCCAUUUGUCAAUUUCUUACAUGCCACUCCAACAUUAUUGGUUGAUUUUUUGUUUCCUCUUAUUUUUCAUGUUUACAAGCUAUCAAUGAAUUUUGAGCUAGCUUAUAGGUCAUCCUUGCAUAGUGUUACUUGAUUCUUGUUCUUGUUCCGUGCAUUAUCAUUCUUCAUGGAGGUAAUUGGGGCUAACCGUUGGCUUUGUGGUCUUUUCUAGAUGGGUAAUUUCCACCUAUCACCUAAUGUUUCCUUUGUGGAAGUCACCUCUUCACUAUCUUCUUCCUUUCUGAGUAAAAGAGNNNNNNNNNNNNNNNNNNNNNNNNNNNNNNNNNNNNNNNNNNNNNNNNNNNNNNNNNNNNNNNNNNNNNNNNNNNNNNAUGUAGCUUGUGUUGCAUUAGAAAUAGUAUGGGUCAGUGAUCAAGGCUGACCUGCUUCAGAACUGACUUUGGGCUUUAAGUAUGUAUGAAAGAGAUUGUAAGAUAACUUGUUUACACCCGCAGUCUACCUGACUGCUUACUGGCGGGGAAAUCGACUUACAAUCUUUUCACAUAACAUGCAGUGAAUUUUUGGGAUAAAUACAGAUGCAAAUGGCUAUUGGUUUAUUGGCUCUUUGCUUUGCUCAAUGUUCAGUCUUUAUUCCAUUGCAUUUAACAAAUCUUGCAGCAUUUGUGAUUACUCUGUGUACCUCCUUUGUUUCUUUUUAUGGCUUAUAUGCAGUUUAAUGGGUACACUAUCUUUCUAUGCAUAUGUCACUUGGUCUUCUGAGUUCUAACUAUACUGUACUUCUUUUUCUUUGAACACUUUUUUAUGGCAUGUUGGCAGCAAAGUUUGAAAGUUUGGUUUCAAUUUCUGCAGUUUUAAUUGGGAUUUGGGCAAUUUCAGCCAAAAAUGAUUUAAAAAAGUAGAAAAAUUGAGGAAAGUAAAAAAUCUAGUAAAAAUGUUUUGCUCUGACAUCAUUAUAAAAUAUGUUUAUUG